UACGUAGGUAGCGAGCGUUAUCCGGAAUUAUUGGGCGUAAAGAGCGCGCAGGUGGUUGAUUAAGUCUGAUGUGAAAGCCCACGGCUUAACCGUGGAGGGUCAUUGGAAACUGGUCGACUUGAGUGCAGAAGAGGGAAGUGGAAUUCCAUGUGUAGCGGUGAAAUGCGUAGAGAUAUGGAGGAACACCAGUGGCGAAGGCGGCUUCCUGGUCUGUAACUGACACUGAGGCGCGAAAGCGUGGGGAGCAAACAGGAUUAGAUA
rnacentral:rRNA from 1 species